rnacentral:lncRNA from 13 species
CUUAAACACUAUGCUAAACUCUUGUGGAUCUUUAUGUGCGAAAUAAUAUCUUUUCAUGACACAUGAAACAAAACUACAUGGGAGAAGUACCAGAUGAUAAAGGAGAUAUUAAAAUAGAAUUGUUAUAUUUCACUCCAACCUUGUUUGCCUACAGUAAAUUCAGAUUGAACUUAUCAGAUCUGUGUUUUGGUCAAUGGACACAUGAUAAAUGAAGAAGUGAGAUUAGCUAUAACCCAAUUAUGCUAAUAUUUUGUUUGGUAGAAAUACUUUCACCCAAAAUAACGAACACAUGGCUAAUCAAACAAGGGGUUAUUUUUCCUUGCAUUACAAGAAAUAUUAAGCUUGUGAGGGUAGAAGAGCCCUCAAUCCAAGAAGUCUUCUUAUGCUCCAUCCUGACACCUGCUGACUCCUCACUUCACUGCAUUAGAAGAAUAUGAAGAUGGCUAUGAAACAUGACUCGUAGGCUACCCGGAGGCCCAUCAGCUGUUGCGUCAAUAACUAACAUUUGGAGUGGUAGUGCAUUUUACUCAAAAUUUCAAGAAGACUGCUUUGAUUAUCGUUUGUUCUGUUCUCAGCAUGCUGUGGGAUUCAUCCUCUUGAAGUUAGGCCUAACCAUUUGACUUGGCAAAUAAAAUGUGGAUAAAAGUGAUGCCUUUAACA